CCAACAUGUGGGAACUCUUCAUCAUUUACUAGAUGGAUAACACAGACCAUCUUGAACAAGUCCAUUUGACUCAAGUCUAACCCCAAAUAGAGGAAUGUUAUCUACUAUUUCCCUGCUAGAAGUACUGUUUGGAAGUUUCCACAAGCUCAUAUUUGAGUGCAGGAAGUUACCCAUCGAGUUUCUUCAGAGAGUUUAUGGCUUUCUCAAGAGACCCCUUUAGGAUCG
rnacentral:lncRNA from 1 species